GUCCCCGUAGCUCAGUUGGAUAGAGUACCGGCCUCCGAAGCCGAGAGCGGCAGUUCGAGUCUGCCCGGGGACGCCA
rnacentral:tRNA from 1 species